GACGAACGCUGGCGGCGUGCUUAACACAUGCAAGUCGAACGGAAAGGCCCUGCUUUUGUGGGGUGCUCGAGUGGCGAACGGGUGAGUAACACGUGAGUAACCUGCCCUUGACUUUGGGAUAACUUCAGGAAACUGGGGCUAAUACCGGAUAGGAGCUCCUGCUGCAUGGUGGGGGUUGGAAAGUUUCGGCGGUUGGGGAUGGACUCGCGGCUUAUCAGCUUGUUGGUGGGGUAGUGGCUUACCAAGGCUUUGACGGGUAGCCGGCCUGAGAGGGUGACCGGCCACAUUGGGACUGAUAUGCGGCCCAGACUCCUACGGGAGGCAGCAGUGGGGAAUAUUGCACAAUGGGCGGAAGCCUGAUGCAGCAACGCCGCGUGCGGGAUGACGGCCUUCGGGUUGUAAACCGCUUUCGCCUGUGACGAAGCGUUAGUGACGGUAAUGGGUAAAGAAGCACCGGCUAACUACGUG
rnacentral:rRNA from 1 species